UGUUCGAGCGUCAUUAUGACCACUCAAGCCUAGCUUGGUAUUGGGGUUCGCGUGCUCGCAGCCCUUAAAAUCAGUGGCGGUGCCGCCUGGCUCUAAGCGUAGUAAUGCUCUCGCUAUUGAGUUCCCGGGCGGUUGCUUGCCAAAAUCCCCCACUUUCUUAGGUUGACCUCGGAUCAGGUAGGGAUACCCGCUGAACUUAA
rnacentral:misc_RNA from 1 species